rnacentral:rRNA from 1 species
CUACGGGAGGCAGCGGUGGGGAAUAUUGGACAAUGGGCGCAAGCCUGAUCCAGCAAUACCGCGUGUGUGAAGAAGGCCUGAGGGUUGUAAAGCACUUUUAAUCGGGAGGAACACCUGCCAGCGAAUACCUGGCAGUCUGACAUUACCGAUAGAAAAAGCACCGGCUAACUCCGUGCCAGCAGCCGCGGUAAUACGGAGGGUGCAAGCGUUAAUCGGAAUUACUGGGCGUGAAGCGUGCGUAGGCGGCUGUUUAAGUCAGAUGUGAAAGCCCCGGGCUUAACCUGGGAACUGCAUUUGAUACUGGGCAGCUAGAGUUGAGUAGAGGAAAGGGGAAUUUCAGGUGUAGCGGUGAAAUGCGUAGAGAUCGGAAGGAACACCAGUGG